rnacentral:rRNA from 1 species
AGCGAACGCUGGCGGCAGGCCUAUCACAUGCAAGUCGAACGGACCCUUCGGGGUUAGUGGCGGACGGGUGAGUAACACGUGGGAACGUGCCUUUAGGUUCGGAAUAGCUCCUGGAAACGGGUGGUAAUGCCGCAUGUGCCCUUAGGGGGAAAGAUUUAUCGCCUUUAGAGCGGCCCGCGUCUGAUUAGCUAGUUGGUGAGGUAAUAGCUCACCAAGGCUACGAUCAGUAGCUGGUCUGAGAGGAUGACCAGCCACAUUGGGACUGAGACACGGCCCAAACUCCUACGGGAGGCAGCAGUGGGGAAUCUUGCGCAAUGGGCGAAAGCCUGACGCAGCCAUGCCGCGUGGAUGAUGAAGGUCUUAGGAUUGUAAAAUCCUUUCACCGGUGAAGAUAAUGACUGUAGCCGGAGAAGAAGCCCCGGCUAACUUCGUGCCAGCAGCCGCAGUAAAAC